AUCCAGCUGACGAGUCCCAAAUAGGACGACACCCAUGUCAGACUGGAU
rnacentral:hammerhead_ribozyme from 1 species